GCUUCUAUGGCUCAGUUGGUAGAGCGCGGCACUAGUAUCGACAGAUGUCGGUGAUGCCGAGGUCCUGAGUUCAAAUCUCAGUGGAAGCA